rnacentral:rRNA from 1 species
ACUCCUACGGGAGGCAGCAGUGGGGAAUUUUGGACAAUGGGCGAAAGCCUGAUCCAGCAAUGCCGCGUGCAGGAAGAAGGCCUUCGGGUUGUAAACUGCUUUUGUACGGAACGAAAAGGCUCUUUCUAAUAAAGAGGGCCCAUGACGGUACCGUAAGAAUAAGCACCGGCUAACUACGUGCCAGCAGCCGCGGUAAUACGGAGGGUGCAAGCGU